AGGUGAUAGAAUCCAUUUACCCGUAUAAUCCCGCGAAUCGGCGCGGGAGUUUCUACAGAAGGCCAUAACCUUCUUUCUACGGCGUGCAUUAAUACUACC
rnacentral:ncRNA from 1 species